UUUAUUUUGACACUUCCUGUUUAGCCGAAUCUGGCUUUUAUUUUGAAAAAACGGUAUGCGCAGGGAGAUCUAAUACAAAAAAAAGACAAAAGAAAAAGAUCGCUAGCGAUAAAGAGAAGGUGAAACGGCAACAAAGGUUAAAGAGAUAAGGAAUAUAGCCUCAGUCGAAAGUGGCAACAAGCUCUUACGUUGGUUUAUGACCUGCAAGGAAACUCAUUAAAGAGUCACUAAACCAUCAGUUCUGGCUAACUUCUUUCGACUGGACGCUACACUCAUGUUUUGAUCUGUCACUUCCAUGCUUAUUAAAGAGGGACUGGGAAAACUGCAUGAGAUAAUGAUCAUUCCUUAUUGCAGUGGACAUGUCAUCCUUGUGCAUUUUGCCCAGCACUGACCAAAGUUGACUUGAAAUUGGCUGGGACAUUGUGGAUUGAGCAGAUGCUAUACCAAAGACUCUCUCUCUCAACUCAGGUCCCUCUUCAACAUUAUUCUCUGGUCUUAGAGCACAUCUUUUCAUAUUUCGAGAAAGCUCUUUUCUGGAUAACAUACCUUUACAGUACAAGCAGUAAUCAUACAUCUCAGGGCUGCUGCUCUGUUUGGAACUCCUUUUCACUUUAAGACAUCCUGAUCCUGUGAUUUUAACAACUGAGUUGUGCUUGAAGUUGCCAAGGUUUCGGAAUUUCUCAAGAAGAACCUUUCUGUCCUUUGAUGAUUUGGGGAACUGGAGUGCCUGUGCGAUUUCAGCAUUUUCAUUUACAUGCCUCUCGAGAUGAUGUGCAAAUUUUGUUUGAGGUUUUCCACAUACAAAACAAUAAUUGAUGUGGCUUUUAAGGAAUUUUGCUGAUUUGGUUGGGGAUUUACUUUGGCCAAGAAUAUCCACAGUAUCCUUUUCGUUUUUUGUUUUCUACUGGUAUGACUCUGAGCUAUCUGGUUCUGGUUCGGGGUCACUUUGGAGAUCACAAGUAGUUUCUAGAUCCAUCAGGAUAUUCUUACAGUUGUCCCCACAUCCUUUAAGUACACACAAGUUGUUCUAAUCUCAUUGCAGUUGAUUAAUUUAACAUCAGUUGAAAUAUAAUUUUCCCUAACUAUCCCAGAGAAAGCAGUUCCUGUUUGUCUAUCUUUAACCAUAUUGAACUUGGCUGUAAUAACUGGAUCAAUAAAGGCAAAACUUUUAUCAAAACCCACAUCAACAAAUGAUCUCACCAAUGCCAUUGAGCCUUGUUCUGUUACAACUGCAUGGUUGAUCCUUCUUGACAGUGUUGUGCUCGUCUUUGAAUGAAUCCUGUUUCCAUUAAUUAGAGCUCUUGAAUAAAAAAAUGCACAUUGGUGAACAUCAGUGUCCUGUUCUCUGAACAGAAAUGCCUCCCUAGGUGUUGGCAUUCUUACUGUUGGUAAGCCCAGAAAGAUUAUGUUUGUCUUUUUUACACAGUUUGUGGCAAGUCUAUACCCACGUAGCAUACGGUCAACAAAAUCUGUGCUUGUUUUUUAACACUCUUAUCAUAAACAGUAGACAGAAGCCGGGGAAUACUUUGAAAAAGAGAAAAGCUAUUAGCUAUUUGUUCUGUAACUGCCUGGGUGCCAUGGAAGAGCUUUUGCAAGUUACCAUUGUGCUUUCAAAAAUAAAUGCACUUUGGCACCAUAGUGGACCCCAGUUUCGUACUGACUGUGCUGCAUGCUGUAAAAUGUGCGCAUUAAAACUAGCAUGACAUUUGCCAUACAGUCUCUCAAAGCGGCUCACAAAAGUUUUUAACAGGUUUUCAGCUACAUCUAUGUCAUGAGAACUCAUGUCAUCUUUUAAUAGUAAGUACGUUGCUUGGACAAGGAGUAGUAGGUGUUCUAGGUAAUCACAUGAUAAAAUGCCACUCAAGCAUGGAAGGCUGUAAAACAAAAGAAAAUUCCUGCACUCUGAGGCCUUCCAAUAUUUGCGCAACCUUACAGAGCGUGGAGGUCUUGUAAUAUGAACUGGUGGCUUGAUUUGAAGUAGUAGUUUAUCAAUGGUGAUUAUCUCUCUCCCCAAAUACCAUCUCUCUCCAUGAUAUUUUGAGUCAAACCAUAAAGUUGUUAAUUGCCGACUGACACCCAGUAAAAUGGCAUGCAUAUAGUCAAAAGCAAAGCCCAGAAUUAUAUUGAAAAAUGUUAAAAGCAUUAAAGGGGAUGGCCCUUUGACUCCCUUAACACAUGUGCCUGUUUCGACUGCUGUUUUAACAUCAUCAAAAUGUUGGCUGUGGGUACGUGGUCUCACAUCUCUUGUUUGUGACACACACCCUAGUGAAUCCAUUUCCUUUAGCUGCUACUUCUCCCUUCUCGUAACACCAGUUGCAUCCAUAUUCACCAUUAAAUUGCUUAGUGUUUUGGACAGAGCAGCGAGCCACCGAGUCACAUACACAGACAAGAUUAAACACAUACAUCUGUGUGCUUUGUCCUGUGUGCUGUACUGUUAGACCUGAAUGCACUCAUCAACAAACGACUGCAACAAGGAAUUCAUUUUAGGCUUAGAAGCACCAAACCACAAACCAGCCAGGAGCACAUGCCUACUUCUCAUAUCUGGGGAAAGUUCAUUAAUUACUACUUAGAUACAUUGGAUACAUUUCUUAACUGUAGACAAAAUGUGGGCAUUAAUUGAAUGGACUGAAAUGGCUGAAACGACUGAAUCAGAUGGAGUCAGAGAAAAGGCAGAAAGAUGUGUGCAAGCUGCCUGAAAAAAGAACAAUAGAAAGAAAAAGAAUAUUUAGUCUAGAAAACACCCCAUCAUUAAGUCCAGAUCAAGUCCAGAAGAGAUUUAAAAAAGUGGAAAAAACACAAAAUGACACACUAUUGCUUAAGAUAAUAGAAGAAAAAAACAAAGAAAAUGAAAAAUUAAAUGAUUUGAGAAAAGAAAUCAAAGCUUUGAGAAUAGAGAAUCAGCAACUAAAGGCUCUGAACUUUAAAUUGCAAAAUGAGAUUAUUAACAGAUUUGGAGAGUUGCUGCCUAACAGUGUAAACAAGCAUGCUGUGCCAACCUCUGUAACAAGUGCAGCUUGCAGUGCUGCCCUUCAGCCAGCCGACUCUUCACAUCUCAGUUCUUCUGAACAUGACCAUGUGACAAUACUAUUUUUAGAUUUUCUUUUCACACCAUUUAAAUAAGUCAAUUCAGUUUGUGUGUGUGUGUGUGUCUACUUAACCAUAUUUUGGGGACAAUUUUGUACCCAGAAGUGAUCAAAACCUGACAAAAUCUCCUCCUUUUGGAAGGAGGAUGUUGGCUACCCACAGCCUUUCAGGAAAAAUUGGAAAUGCCAACAAAGAAUCCCAACCCAAGCCUCCUUUGGACCCCACAAAAGUGGAACUCAUUAUAGACACUGUUCUGAAGAAAUUUCCAUCAACUCCACGAAAGUUUAUUUGGGCUGCUUUACGAGAAAAAAUGAAUGAUGAACAUAAACUCCUCUCCAGGCAGCAUAAGAAGGACACUUUUACACUGCAACAUUGAGUGGUGAAGUACAUAUAAGAGGUGAGGGCAAAUUCAUUAGAACAUAUGUGUCACGAAUACGGCUCCCGCGGCUCCUCCUCCAGGCCGCCGGAGGGAGCCAUCACCUGAAUUCUGAGUCACUUCCUUGUGGACUACGUUACCCAUAGGCCCUCAUUCCUGGGACUGAUUGCACACACCUGCAUUGCAUCACACUCACACUAUUUAAGACGCACACACGCAUCCAUACACUGCGAAGUCUUGAUUUGCCCCGGUGAUCACUACUGAGUGUUUUCUUGUGGACUGUUACCUUGCUAUCGAUUGGACUGUUUAUCAUUUGUGAACCUCUGCCGCCUGCCUUGAACCUUGCCUGUUUCCUGGAUCACGUUUGUCUGCUGCCUGCCCUGAACUCUGCCUGUUGUAAGUUUCUGUUUGUCUGCCGCCUGCCUCGACCCAAGCCUGUCCCUGUUUCUGCUACUGUCUUGCCCUUGUCUGCCUUGUGCUUUGUUGUCACAAUAAAGAAACUGCAAAUGGAUCCUCACGCUGUCAGCCCUUCAUUACAAUAUGCAUGUAAUUAUAUUUAUAAAUGUUUUAUUAGCUAAGUUAAGGCAAAAAUGUCUUUUUUUU